rnacentral:misc_RNA from 1 species
UUGGAAAAGGCCGCCUACUUUAGAGAGCGGUACAAAAACUUAACUCCCGCCGAGAGGGAGUUUAGGCGUGAACGCCUUAGGUUGUACAAUAGUACACCAAAGCGGAAAGGGUCAAAGAUAGAGUACAUACGAAAACGUAGAGCACUGUUGGCUGACACAUUGAGUCAUGAGUCCAUCGCCAUGGAGUCCCCAACAUAUACCCCUAAGGUUGUACACCCUACAACAGAUGCCAUUGAACCUGAUGGAUCCGCAGUUACCCCCUGCGACUGGGUUAUCCCUGAAAUCGCCAGUAACCCGUUCCUGCCAGCUUCAACACAGACUGAGGAUGCCAAUUCACUGCAUAUGUCUACUGGACCACUAAGACGUAAACAACAUGUGCCACAUGGUGAAAGACAAUCUAUCUUAGCCCGUCGAAACCGGCAAUUUGAAGCAUCCAUUUCAAGGAACAUGGCUACUGCGACUGAUGAUACCAUCAAUGACGCUGGGGAAGGGGAUGAUUGGACACAACCCCAUAUUACUGCAACGAUCAACAACAAUGUACAAUGUAGGAGUCAAUGCCAUGGUGCUAUCGUGGCAACAAAUGAGAGUGCAAGUAUGACCGAACAAGGAAGUGGGGUUGAUCAUACCCAGUCGAAGCCAAGGGUCAUUUCCAAUGUUGAUGACGAUGACGGUGUCGUAUUUGAAGACGACGCUGAUGAGAACGAGGGAUACCUAUUCGCU